AAUUGGUCACUGAACCAUAUUAUAUGUGGCAACUUAAUAGCCUAAAGUCCUUUGUGUCCAUUAAUAUUGCUCCACCUGCUAGCCAACAUUUAAGUCAUCUCUGUCUUCUUUCUUUUCUCUCUUGACUAUUAGAAUUAGAAUUAGAAUAGUUGUUGCAAAAAUUCGAGGUUGUGAUGAUGAUUUUCUUCUUUGUUUUCUCCGAGAUUGAGAAAAUUGAUAGUGUAAGAGAGCAAUCGGACCCGUAUCUUGGUGGGGCAACCCGGAUGGAAGGUUAUCCUGCAACCGGUGCUUGCAGUUAUGGCGGUGAUUCCAAUCUCUCUUAUCGUAUUACAAAUCCGAGCUUCAAUGUUUAGAUUUCUUAGGGUCUAUUGAAAAUCGCCUCUUUACCUCCACAAGAUAGAGACACAUAACAGUGCUUUAGGUUUAAUCCAUCUCUCGCGUAUGGCAGUAUGUACCUUUUAGUAGACAGAAAGAGCAAACUCAAGUUGCACGGUAAGGUAAGUAUUCAUUUUCACUAUUAGCCUUUUGUUUCUUGGUUCAUUUUGUUGACCGGCUCUAUUCUUCCGAAAAUUUGUUUUGACAUUCAAAAAUCGACUUGACCAUGAAAUCAGUAGACAAUGAAGAAGAAACAGAGCAAGUAGUUUUAGAGCUCUUUAUGUGUGUCGUGGUGUUGUAUCAGGGUUCAUCGUUUAGGGAAAUAUCAUAUUCGAAAAUAUUUUGCCACGAAUUGACAGGUUUGUUUAUUUGGUUCUUAUAAACUUUUGUAAAUUCUUCCAUACCUCCGUUUUACUUUUUAUUAUUGCGUGAAUCUGCGAAAGUUUUUGAUGUCUUUUAGUGCUAUGAAAGAAAGUCACUUUGAUAAUAGAAGUAUAGUAGGAUUUAUAAAUACUAGGAUUAGUCUAAUAACCUCUAGAAUUCAAAUUUUCGCUAAUGUUUGAGUAUAUUUAUAGUGAGGGACGUUCAUGUCACGAGUUUCAACUCUGACGUCGACCCAAAGUUGGGGAAAGUAUUUAAGUGGAAACAUAACGGAGGGGCAUGUGCAUACUCUUCAGUAUUUCUGAUGAACAAUGAGGUUUGACUAGCUAACUAGAAGGGAAUUUUUCAACUAUUAAAUAAGACUGAGUCUUUUCUCGACUAAAAGGAUGUCUUUUAGUUUUAAACCAUAUACUUCUAUUGUUUUCUCCUUAGAGUUGUUGACCUCAUCCAAUCCUUGUCAUUUUGAUCAAUGUAUUUUGUUCCGCUAGAUUGUUGGACAGAUUGCAGGAGAAACAACACAGUAAAUUGGAUAAUGAAGCUUAUUUGGAUGAGAAUCACAUGCUAUUUAAAAAUAUCCAGUUCCUUGUCGAAGUAUUGCACCCUCUACUCUAUUUUAUUUCGUAUGAAAUCUCUUCUAAUUGCUGAUUUCUACACUUCACAAUCGCACACAUGGGCACAUUGGAUGAUUCUUUUGACGAUCCUUCAUAAUGUGGCAUUUUUAUUCAAGUUGAAAGAAGAGGUAAAGAAGCUUCAAUCAAUCCAGCAAGCUAAAAAUGGCGUUGACAUAGUCUCUGAGAUAAGGGUGAAGACUCAUUAUGCUACACCAAUUGGUGCUGAUCAAAGAAUUGGCCAGUGCUUAUCUAGCAUCUUUAAUUAUUAUUCAUUCUUGUUAAUGAUGAGGUUUAGUUUUGAGGUUUAUUGAAAAAUCAAGGUAAGGUCUACCUACAUUCUACCUUGAUGAGAUCCCACUUGUGGGAUCAAACUAGGUAUGUUGUUGUUAUCGUCGUCAAAUUAGUAAUGUUUUGCUCCAUUUUUCAGAUUCUUAUAUUUGAAUUUGUGCAUAUGAUGUGUCUUUUACUGUAGUCUACAAAGGAGAUCGAAUUGCCACAUACUUUGUUAAGUGGUUGGGGAAGAGUACUAUUGGUUUGUCAUAUGGAUUGGCCCUGAGUGAGGCUUUGAUUGCACCUGCAAUGUCUAGCACUACGGCAAGAGCUGGUGGGGUAUUUUUGCCUAUUAUUAAGUCUCUCACUUUCAGCUGGAAGUAAGCGUGGUGAUCCCUCCUCCAGGAAGCUAGGAUCUUACUUGAUUCAAUCUCAAUUUCAGGGUAGGUGUAUAAGCCAACUAAACCAGAGAGCACGUAGUGGAGGCCUAUGUUUCUAUCCCUUGCAAAAGCUAAGGAAUACAUGUAGUGGAGGCCUAUAUUUCUAUUCCCCGCAAAAGAUAAGGGAAACAUCUCUUAACUUGUUAGCAUGGACGCCGAUGUACUUGAAAAUAUGAUCUGCAAGGAGGCCAGAAAGAGAGAGUCGCUGCAAUUGCUUGCAUUGUUGCAAAUGGCCCCAAAACCAGCAUCAACUACAUGUAUUGCAAAUGACUUAAUACAGUAACUGCAUUUGUAAAAAAAUUGAGAAUAUCUCUUGUUAAAUUUUGCAUUUUUCUUUGUAGAUUACCCUUUUCCGAGUACUUGUGUCCUUAGAGGUGCAAAAAAGCUUUAAUCUUUGCAUCUGAAUGUGACAACCCUGAUUACCUAACCCUUGGACUGCUUGACACUGGUUUUGGGGCCAUCAUUCACCAUUGCAGGCAAUUGUGACGAUUUCCCCGUUCACGCCUCCACUACGUACUCCUCCAGUUGUGUAAGCCUUUGUAAUCUGGAGAGAAGAGACUGCCCCUUCAGCAACGAGUCUCUGUUGGUCAAUGUUGCAAAGCCGGACACGGUAGGAUAUCUUUAGAUGCCUUGUUGUUCAGUAAUUUAUGGAUCAGAAGUUACCAAGGGUUAAUGUGUGUAAUGUGUACUUUUGCUUUUCUUAAG